CCCCUUGUGCCUUCAUCUUGGGUAAUCUGGGACAGCCUCUCUCAGUUCACCAUGGCCCUGCUUGCUGCGUUGUCCUCUCCAAAGAGAGAGAGAAAGAGCGAGAGCCUUCCUUGGAUGUUGUCCUUUUAAAGACUCAUUCAUGCUGUGAUAAACUACAAGUCCCAAAAUAAUUUUUCCCUCCCAAAAGUGGUUUAUCCCGCCCUCUUUCUCCAGAGAGUUCUGUCUUUCCCUUUGAUCUCUUCCCUCCAGCCGUACUGUAACAUUGUGAAAGAAGUGACCAGUUAGGGUUGGUUUCUGGGUAGAUUGGAUGGC